rnacentral:precursor_RNA from 17 species
ACAACUGGAAGAAGCGGGCUCAAUCUUCUGUGCCUACUGAGCUGAUAACAGUUGAUGUAGCCUGCACUGGCUCAGUUCAGCAGGAACAGAAGUUGUUCCUCUUUGACUACCUGAAAUUC